AAUCCCGUGAACCAUCGAGUCUUUGAACGCAAGUUGCGCCGAGGCCCUCGGGCCGAGGGCACGCCUGCCUGGGCGUCACGCAUCGCGUCGCCCCCCGCCCCCGCGGGGAGGGCGGAGAAUGGCCUCCCGUGCGCCCCGGCGCGCGGCCGGCCC
rnacentral:rRNA from 1 species